rnacentral:rRNA from 1 species
CCAUUGCGUGUCUUGGAGUCGGGUUGUUUGGGAGCGCAGCCCAAAGUAGGUGGUAAACUUCAUCUAAGACUGAAUAUGACUACGAGUCCGAUAGCGAACAAGUACCGUGAGGGAAAGUUGCAAAGCACUUUGAAGAGAGAGUUAAAGAGGACGUGAAACCGAUGAGGUGGAAACGGACAGAGCUGGCGUAUCUGGCCUGCAUUCAGCCGCUGCGCGUCGGGCCCCGGUUUGCCGCACUCCAGAUUGGGAAGGUGGCUGGGCUGCUGGCGUGCUUGUGGUGCAUUUGCAGGUGGAGUGCGCUGAGGCGCUCGGCUCAGCGGCAUGAGCUCGGCCUUGAGGCCAACCGUGCAAGCGGUCUGGUACCCGGGUCGGGGGAGUGUUGUUUGGGCUGAGUGUUCGCUUGGGCACUGGUUUCGGGCCCGGGUGGGUGCCGAGCUGGCGGUCGACGUCGGUCGCAUGCGACACGUGUCAGCAAUCAGUUCGGUCCUGCUCGAGCUCUCGCGUGUCCGGCCUCGGUGUAAAAGCCGGUCAUCUGUCCGACC